rnacentral:tmRNA from 1 species
GGGGGCGUACUGGAUUCGACGGGGGUUUGAAGUGGCAGAAGAAGCGAGCCGGGGGCCGGACCCCGUCAACAACUGGAAAUCGGCUAAUAACUGCCAACAAUAACUACGCUUUCGCAGCCUAAUUAACUAGGCUGCCGUCCUACCAGUUCCCUGCCUGUGGGGAUUGGCCAGGGCGUCGCUAAUACAGGCUACCGCCGGUAAUUGCCUCCGCCACCGACGGGAAAUUAAGGAGGCUGGUCAGCGGCUGAUCCUGUCCCUGGGAGCUGUCAAUGACGAGAACUAAUACAGGGAAUGCGCUCGGAGAUGCUUCUGUGGCUUAACCUUCGGACGCGGGUUCGACUCCCGCCGCCUCCACCA